rnacentral:rRNA from 1 species
AGCAUAUCAAUAAGCGGAGGAAAAGAAACCAACAGGGAUUGCCCCAGUAACGGCGAGUGAAGCGGCAACAGCUCAAAUUUGAAAUCUGGCCCCAGGCCCGAGUUGUAAUUUGCAGAGGAUGCUUUUGGCGCGGUGCCUUCCGAGUUCCCUGGAACGGGACGCCAUAGAGGGUGAGAGCCCCGUACGGUUGGACACCAAGCCUUUGUAAAGCUCCUUCGACGAGUCGAGUAGUUUGGGAAUGCUGCUCUAAAUGGGAGGUACAUUUCUUCUAAAGCUAAAUAUUGGCCAGAGACCGAUAGCGCACAAGUAGAGUGAUCGAAAGAUGAAAAGCACUUUGAAAAGAGGGUUAAACAGCACGUGAAAUUGUUAAAAGGGAAGCGCUUGUGACCAGACUUGCGUCCGGUGAAUCACCCAGCUCUCGCGGCUGGGGCACUUCGCCGGCACAGGCCAGCAUCAGCUUGCCGUCGGGGACAAAAGCUUCAGGAACGUGGCUCCUCUCGGGGAGUGUUAUAGCCUGUUGCACAAUACCCUUCGGCGGGCUGAGGUACGCGCUCCGCAAGGAUGCUGGCGUAAUGGUCAUCAGCGACCCGUCUUGAAACACGGACCAAGGAGUCAACCUUAUGUGCGAGUGUUUGGGUGUUAAACCCCUACGCGUAAUGAAAGUGAACGCAGGUGAGAGCUUCGGCGCAUCAUCGACCGAUCCUGAUGUUCUCGGAUGGAUUUGAGUAAGAGCAUAUAGGGUUGGACCCGAAAGAAGGUGAACUAUGCGUGUGUAGGGUGAAGCCAGAGGAAACUCUGGUGGGAGGCUCGCAGCGGUUCUGACGUGCAAAUCGAUCGUCAAACAUGCGCAUGGGGGCGAAAGACUAAUCGAACCUUCUAGUAGCUGGUUUCCGCCGAAGUU